UACGUAGGGUGCGAGCGUUGUCCGGAAUUAUUGGGCGUAAAGAGCUUGUAGGCGGUCUGUCGCGUCUGCUGUGAAAAUCCGGGGCUCAACCCCGGACUUGCAGUGGGUACGGGCAGACUAGAGUGUGGUAGGGGAGACUGGAAUUCCUGGUGUAGCGGUGAAAUGCGCAGAUAUCGAGAGGAACACCUGCGGCGAAGGCGGGUUGCUGGGCUGACACUGGCGCUGAGGCGCGAAAGCUAGGGGAGCGAACGGG
rnacentral:rRNA from 1 species